rnacentral:rRNA from 1 species
AAAGGUCUCGGCAGCUUACCAUGCAGUCGAGGGGUAUAAGUCUUCGGAUUUAGAGACCGGCGCACGGGUGCGUAACGCGUAUGCAUUCUACCUUUUACAGAGGGAUAGCCCAGAGAAAUUUGGAUUAAUACCUCAUAGUAUUGCAGAAUGGCAUCAUUCAGCAAUUAAAGUCCCAACGGUAAAAGAUGAGCUUGCCUUCCAUUACCUAGUUGGUAAGGUAACGGCUUACCAAGGCUACCAUGGGUAGGGGUCCUGAUAGGGAGAUCCCCCACCCUGGUACUGAGACACGGACCAGACUCCUACGGGAGGCAGCAGUGAGGAAUAUUGGACAAUGGGCGCAAGCCUGAUCCAGCCAUGCCGCGUGCAGGAUGACGGUCCUAUGGAUUGUAAACUGCUUUUAUACGAGAAGAAACACUGCUUCGUGAAGCAGCUUGACGGUAUCGUAAGAAUAAGGAUCGGCUAACUCCGUGCCAGCAGCCGCGGUAAUACGGAGGAUCCAAGCGUUAUCCGGAAUCAUUGGGUUUAAAGGGUCCGUAGGCGGUUUAAUAAGUCAGUGGUGAAAGCCCAUCGCUCAACGGUGGAACGGCCAUUGAUACUGUUAGACUUGAAUUAUUAGGAAGUAACUAGAAUAUGUAGUGUAGCGGUGAAAUGCUUAGAGAUUACAUGGAAUACCAAUUGCGAAGGCAGGUUACUACUAAUGGAUUGACGCUGAUGGACGAAAGCGUGGGUAGCGAACAGGAUUAGAUACCCUGGUAGUCCACGCCGUAAACGAUGGAUACUAGCUGUUGGGUGCAAACUCAGUGGCUAAGCGAAAGUGAUAAGUAUCCCACCCUGGGGGAGUACGUUCGCAAGAAUGAAACUCAAAGGAAUUGACGGGGGGCGCGCACAAGCGGUGGAGCAUGUGGUUUAAUUCUAUGAUACGCGAGGAACCUUACCAAGGCUUAAUGUAGAUUGACCGGUGUGGAAACAGAUCUUUCGCAAGACAUUUACAGUGCUGCAUGGUGUCGUCAGCUCGUGCCGUGAGUGUCGAGAUGAGUACGUAUACGAGCACAAACCGCCUGCUGGUAGUGCUGGCAGUCGUGUCGGGAACUCGUACGAGACUGCAAUGCAACUGCUCAGGAAGAUGGGGAUGACGUCAGUCAUCAGGUCCUACGCCUUGGCUAGCUACUGCUGCAAUGCCGUUCGUAGCGCCUGACGACAGACGAGCUAUAGAGCGAUACAGAUCGAAUCGA